rnacentral:rRNA from 1 species
AGUGAACGCUGGCGGUAGGCCUAACACAUGCAAGUCGAACGGCAGCACAGUAAGAGCUUGCUCUUACGGGUGGCGAGUGGCGGACGGGUGAGGAAUACAUCGGAAUCUACUUUUUCGUGGGGGAUAACGUAGGGAAACUUACGCUAAUACCGCAUACGACCUACGGGUGAAAGCAGGGGAUCUUCGGACCUUGCGCGAUUGAAUGAGCCGAUGUCGGAUUAGCUAGUUGGCGGGGUAAAGGCCCACCAAGGCGACGAUCCGUAGCUGGUCUGCGAGGAUGAUCAGCCACACUGGAACUGAGACACGGUCCAGACUCCUACGGGAGGCAGCAGUGGGGAAUAUUGGACAAUGGGCGCAAGCCUGAUCCAGCCAUACCGCGUGGGUGAAGAAGGCCUUCGGGUUGUAAAGCCCUUUUGUUGGGAAAGAAAAGCAGCAGGUUAAUAACCCGCUGUUCUGACGGUACCCAAAGAAUAAGCACCGGCUAACUUCGUG